UCUUACUAAUAAAAAAUCACUAUACAUGCGUUAUGACAAGGUGAUAGUAAUUCAGUGAAUAGAGCUUGUACAGGGCAUAAACUCCUCUUUGACCAAUAAUCGAUGUGUAUUGGUUGAAUAACAAAACGACCCUUAUUUAUUGUUACCCUGGCAACCCGCCGUGUUUGAUUGACGUUUGAUUUAAUAAUUUUGAUACGACUCAUAAUUCUAAUGUAAGUUGUAUUUAUUUUAUCAACCAAAGCAAUUAUAUACACAUUUACUCAAUAUACUAAUAACAUUUUAUUAUUUGCAGCUAAUAGAAACUCCAAAACCUCAGACAAAGAGGACUAGAAUUUUACAUAAAAAGCCGCGUUCUGCAGUACAAAAGUUAGAAGAGGCUCAAACAGAAGCGACUCGCCGAAGCUCACGAAAGGGCUAGACAGAAGCAUCUUCUAAGGCUCAAAUUGUUACAGCAGCAAUUAAAUAAAUAAUUAUAUACUUAUAAAAAAAAUAAAACCCCCGUUUUAAAUGAAA